AUUUAGAGCAUGUAUGGGUGGUCACAAAGAGAGUUCAUCAGCAACGGCUCCGCCAUAUAUGAUGCCGCCCAUUAAUCAUGGUCCGUCGUCGGCUGCCGGAGCUUAUCUCUCUCCGGCGACAGCGACGGGAUACCCGCUGAACAUUGGUGCUGGUCCUCAUACAGUUUUUGAAGGUGUUAAACCACACAAGCCAUCUCCUCCUCCUCCUCUUGUCAAAAUCAAAUGCAUAUUUUGUGGCCCUCCUCCUUGCUUCAUGUGCUACAAAUUAUGUUGUUUUUCCACGUGCUGUUGUUGCUGUUGUGCCAAUACAUGUUAUUAAUUUAUAAUUGAAAUUAUUUGUAAGUUCUUAUGCUAUAACAUUUAUAUGACCUAUAAUAUGUAUAUUUUGUAAACAACUGAAUAGCUUGAUAAAAAAAAAUAUGUAUUUUGUGUUAUGUUUUGGCAUAGCUUAAUUAUUAUAAUGUGUACAUUUCUUCAUCAAUUUUUAAAAUAGAUUACUAAUUUAUAAGUA